AGACGUCUACAUUAGAUACCCCCGGUAGUCCCAGCCGUAAACUAUGCGCGUUAGGUGUAUCGGUGACCACGAGUUACCGAGGUGCCGAAGGGAAACCGUGAAACGUGCCGCCUGGGAAGUACGGUCGCAAGGCUGAAACUUAAAGGAAUUGGCGGGGAGCACCACAACAGGUGGAGCCUGCGGUUUAAUUGGACUCAACGCCGGGAAGCUCACCGGAUAGGACAGCAGAAUGAUUGCCGGGCUGAAGACUCUGCAUGACUAGCUG
rnacentral:rRNA from 1 species